rnacentral:lncRNA from 1 species
AUGGAGCCAAGACAGGAAGUCAGAAACCCCCCAGAGACCAGGCAGGGACAGGAGCCAGGAGAGGGGCAAGCGCCUGCUUCAAACCGGAGUCCUGAAAGAUGCAGCCGAGGGAGGACAGGUGGCCAGCCGCCCCCAUCCCUGUGUGCGAGCCGCACCUGCCCCAGUGCGCGAGCCACACCUGCCCCGCCCCUGUGCGCGAGCCACACCUGCCCCGCCCUUGUGCGCAAGCCGCACCUGCCCCUGUGGGCUUGUGAAUCGCCUGGGGAGGUGCUCCAGCGCAGGCGCCCACGCAGAGGGGCUGUGGUGAGGCGCCGCGGUGGGGAUGCCGAGGCGGCAGCUGACCACUGCCUGUUGAGGAAUUCAGGUCUGAGUGUGGGCUCGCCCCGGGCAGCUCCUCACGUGGGAGCCAGCCACCCUCAACCCAGCAGGCGAGAGAAGGCGGAUGCAUUAUUCCAGGCUCAGCUCACACAGAGCGUUUACUCCAGACGCACCUGCUGGGGUGGACGACGGCACCUGACGGAGUUCAUCUCCAGUGUCCCAGAACCGCCGAGGUGGCCCCGGGAGAACUGCCUGCAGGGCCACCCAGAGCCAAGCGUGAGCUCUUCUUCUUUUAAAGACUUAUUUAUUUAUUUAACAGAGUUACAGAGAAGGAGGGAGGGGGAGAUCUUCCAUCUGUUGGUUGACUCCCCAAAUGGCUGUAGGAGCUGGAGCUCCUACAAAAAACAGGAGCCAGGGACUCCAUCCAGCUCUCCCACGUGGGUGCAGGGGCCCAAGCACUUGGGCCGUCUUCUGCUCUCCCAGGUACAUGAGCAGAGAGUUGGAUCAGAAGUGGAGCAGCCAGGACUUGAACCGGCGCCCAUGUGGGAUGGCAGGAUGCGACUUACCCCGCUGUGCCGCAGUGCCUGGCCGCAGUGUGAGCGCAUCUCAGACGUUCCGGGGCUGGAACCCGAGGGCGUGCAGAGCUCAGUGUGUCUCAGUGGAGCGGAAGCAGGAACGAAAUCCCUCGGAACCCUGCUGCCUGAAGCACGCCCCUUUCUUACUAGGUGUGAUUCCCGGCAGACGCCCUGGGGAGGGGGCGUGUUUCUCCCUCCUGCUGCACCUGCUCCAUGGGCAGAGCUGCACACGGCGAGACGAGGACAUCCUGGCGCCGGGCGGGCACGUCGAGACCCCGCGGGCACACACAGGAGGGGGAGUGGGCCACCGUGGCAUACCCCCCGCCUUCUGGUGGGUUCUAGCCUGUGGGUGUCGAGCGAGGACCUGGGCGAUAGCCAUGAGAGCACCCGUCUGCCAGUCGCCUGCCGUGUUGCGGGUGUGGGCUUCCCAAGCGCGUUCAGCCAGCUCUGA